rnacentral:rRNA from 1 species
GACGAACCGUGCGAACGUUAUUCGGAAUCACUGGGCUUAAAGCGCGUGUAGGCGGAAGGGCACGUCCGUUGCUGGAAUCCCCCGGCUCAACCGGGGAACGGGCGCGGAUACGACUCUUCUGGAGGGGCGUAGGGGGACCUGGAACUUCCGGUGGAGCGGUGAAAUGCGUUGAGAUCGGAAGGAACGCCCGUGGCGAAAGCGAGGUCCUGGACGCCUACUGACGCUGAGACGCGAAAGCCAGGGGAGCGGAACGGG